rnacentral:misc_RNA from 1 species
UGGUUCCGGCAUCGAUGAAGAACGCAGCGAAAUGCGAUACGUAGUGUGAAUUGCAGAAUUCAGUGAAUCAUCGAGUCUUUGAACGCACAUUGCGCCCCUUGGCAUUCCGAGGGGCACGCCUGUUCGAGCGUCAUUUCAACCCUCAAGCCUAGCUUGGUAUUGGGUCACGCCCCCGUGGCGGGCCUCGAAGAUGUCGGCAGUGUUGGCUCCCCGAGCGUGACGACUCACAGCGAUGGGAGUGAAUGCCCGCCUCAUGACCACUAUUUCUCAAGGUUGACCUCGGAUCAGGCGGGGAUACCCGCUGA